rnacentral:rRNA from 1 species
UGGGGAAUAUUGGACAAUGGGCGCAAGCCUGAUCCAGCCAUGCCGCGUGAGUGAUGAAGGCCCUAGGGUUAUAAAGCUCUUUCACCGGUGAAGAUAAUGACGGUAACCGGAGAAGAAGCCCCGGCUAACUUCGUGCCAGCAGCCGCGGUAAUACGAAGGGGGCUAGCGUUGUUCGGAUUUACUGGGCGUAAAGCGCACGUAGGCGGACUUUUAAGUCAGGGGUGAAAUCCCGGGGCUCAACCCCGGAACUGCCUUUGAUACUGGAAGUCUUGAGUAUGGUAGAGGUGAGUGGAAUUCCGAGUGUAGAGGUGAAAUUCGUAGAUAUUCGGAGGAACACCAGUGGCGAAGGCGGCUCACUGGACCAUUACUGACGCUGGGGUGCGAAAGCGUGGGGAGCAAACAGG